GUGGGGAAUUUUGGACAAUGGGCGCAAGCCUGAUCCAGCAAUGCCGCGUGCAGGAAGAAGGCCUUCGGGUUGUAAACUGCUUUUGUACGGAACGAAACGGUCCUGGCUAAUAUCCGGGGCUAAUGACGGUACCGUAAGAAUAAGCACCGGCUAACUACGUGCCAGCAGCCGCGGUAAUACGUAGGGUGCGAGCGUUAAUCGGAAUUACUGGGCGUAAAGCGUGCGCAGGCGGUGCUGUAAGACAGGCGUGAAAUCCCCGGGCUCAACCUGGGAACUGCAUUUGUGACUGCAUUGCUGGAGUGCGGCAGAGGGGGAUGGAAUUCCGCGUGUAGCAGUGAAAUGCGUAGAUAUGCGGAGGAACACCGAUGGCGAAGGCAAUCCCCUGGGCCUGCACUGACGCUCAUGCACGAAAGCGUGGGGAGCAAACAGGAUUAGAUACCCUUGUAGUCC
rnacentral:rRNA from 1 species